AAGUCGUAACAAGGUUUCCGUAGGUAUGUAGAUUGUCGAACUUCCACUUCCGGCUUUUUCAGGUAGACUAACGUGAAUUUUAGGUGAACCUGCGGAAGGAUCAUUAACGAGUUAGGGUCUCUCAGGCCCGAUCUCCAACCCUGUGUUUAAUUACCCUGUUGCUUUGGCGGGCCCGUCUUCGGACCGUCGGCGGUCAGCAAUGACUUCUGGCCAGCGCCCGCCAGAGACCCAUUUUAAAAAUCUGUUGAAAACGUGUCGUUCUCAGUAAAAAAUUAAAUUGUUAAAACUUUCAACAACGGA
rnacentral:misc_RNA from 1 species